AACGUAGGACACAAGCGUUAUCCGGAGUUACUGGGCGUAAAGGGCGUGUAGGCGGGUGAUUAAGUUCGCUAUGAAAGCGCCAGGCUAAACCUGGCGAGGCUGGCGGGUACUGGUCAUCUGGAGUAAGGGAGAGGGAGGUAGAAUUCCGCGUGUAGUGGUGAAAUGCGUAGAGAUGCGGAGGAAUACCAGUGGCGAAGGCGGCCUCCUGGCCCUUAACUGACGCUGAAGCGCGAAAGCAUGGGGAGCGAACGGG
rnacentral:rRNA from 1 species